GCCCCCGUUGUCUAAUGGCUAUGACGUCAGACUUCUAGGGCCGUAUCCCUUCAAUCUGGAGGCUGCGGGUUCGAGUCCCGCCGGGGGUA